AGUGGCGGACGGGUGAGUAACGCGUGGGCAACCUGCCUCAUACAGGGGGAUAACAGUUAGAAAUAGCUGCUAAUACCGCAUAAGCGCACAGUACCGCAUGGUACGGUGUGAAAAACUCCGGUGGUAUGAGAUGGACCCGCGUCUGAUUAGCUAGUUGGUGGGGUAAAGGCCUACCAAGGCGACGAUCAGUAGCCGGCCUGAGAGGGUGACCGGCCACAUUGGGACUGAGACACGGCCCAAACUCCUACGGGAGGCAGCAGUGGGGAAUAUUGCACAAUGGGGGAAACCCUGAUGCAGCAACGCCGCGUGAGUGAAGAAGUAUUUCGGUAUGUAAAGCUCUAUCAGCAGGGAAGAAAAAAGACGGUACCUGACUAAGAAGCACCGGCUAAAUACGUGCCAGCAGCCGCGGUAAUACGUAUGGUGCAAGCGUUAUCCGGAUUUACUGGGUGUAAAGGGAGCGUAGACGGCAUGGCAAGUCUGAAGUGAAAAUCCGGGGCUCAACCCCGGAACUGCUUUGGAAACUGUCAAGCUAGAGUGCAGGAGAGGUAAGCGGGAAUUCCUGGUGUAGCGGUGAAAUGCGUAGAUAUCAGGAGGGAACACCGGUGGCGAAGGCGGCUUACUGGACUGUUAACUGACGUUGAGGCUCGAAAGCGUGGGGGAGCAAACCAGGAUUAGAUACCCUGGUAGUCCACGCUGUAAACGAUGAUCACUAGGUGUUGGGGAGUAUGGCUCCUCGGUGCCGCAGCAAACGCAAUAAGUGAUCCACCUGGGGAGUACGUUCGCAAGAAUGAAACUCAAAGGAAUUGACGGGGACCCGCACAAGCGGUGGAGCAUGUGGUUUAAUUCGAAGCAACGCGAAGAACCUUACCUGGUCUUGACAUCGAUCUAAAGCAUGAGUAAUGUCAUGUGACCCUUCGGGGGAGAGAAGACAGGUGGUGCAUGGUUGUCGUCAGCUCGUGCCGUGAGGUGUCGGCUUAAGUGCCAUAACGAGCGCAACCCCCAUUGAUAGUUGCCAUCGAGUCAAGUCGGGCACUCUAUCGAGACUGCCGGCGCAAGCUGUGAGGAAGGCGGGGAUGACGUCAAAUCAGCACGGUCCUUACGUCCGGGGCGACACACGUGUUACAAUGGCAGGUACAGAGGGCAGCCAUCUGGCGACAGAGUGCGAAUCUCCAAAACCUGUCUCAGUUCGGAUCGGAGUCUGCAACUCGACUCCGUGAAGCUGGAUUCGCCAGUAAUCGCGCAUCAGCCAUGGCGCGGUGAAUACGUU
rnacentral:rRNA from 1 species